UCCGGUUUGUCACCGGCGGUCCCCUUAGAGUUCCCAACUUAAUGCUGGCAACUAACGACAAGGGUUGCGCUCGUUGCGGGACUUAACCCAACAUCUCACGACACGAGCUGACGACAGCCAUGCAGCACCUAACUACAGGUUCUCCGAAGAGCACUCCGACCUUUCGACCAGGUUCCUGCAUUUUCUAGCCCAGGUAAGGUUCUGCGCGUUGCGUCGAAUUGAACCACAUGCUCCACCGCUUGCGCGGGCCCCCGUCAAUUCCUUUGGGUUUUAGCCUUGCGGCCGUACUCCCCAGGCGGGGCACUUAAUGCGUUAGCUUCGGCACGGAGGGAGUCGACACCCCCUACACCUAGUGCCCAUCGUUUACAGCGUGGACUAC
rnacentral:misc_RNA from 1 species